ensembl:lncRNA
AACUAAUACUCGUUCCGCGUUGCUUUCAAAUGGUUUGUAUCUGUAGAUGUGUGUUUGUGACUAUAGUUGUGUGUUUGUUUCUAUAGAUGUGUGUGGCGAAGUGUCCUGAUAAGUUCAUGACGCUGGUCAAGGCUCGCCUCAUCCCCUCUGAGUUUGAGUACUACAAGCAGUUCUGCAAGGAGGGGGUGACCAACCAAAUGGUAUGACGCCGUCUCCACUCCGGUCCAGAGACGUGACGGCGGAUGAGAUCCAGCAGCUGCUGCUUGAGUCCUUCUCACCCCGGACCGCCCCGGACUUUAUACUGGGGGCGUGACCUCCAGCCUGGACGGGGCGUUGCCUUCAUGCCGGAGGGGGCGCGGCCUUCAAGCAGGAGGGGCGUGUCACUUCGUUGUGUAACACAGUCGUGUGUUUGGGUCGGCCUGCAGGCUCUGCCGUGACCCCUGGUCCUGGGAUACAGGGCGGCGAGCCGAGCGCCUAUCUCCAGCCCCCUGAUCUCCUGCUGAGCCCCCCUGAUCUCCUGCUGAGCCUGGAAGGUGUUCCUCCCCGCUGCCCGCUGCCCAGCGCCUCGCUGACCCAGGAGAGUCAGAGCAUCACCGGAGCGUUUCAGUCAAAUUUGGACUACGGACAGCAUGUGGAUCAGGUGGUAGAGCGGGUUGGUUGCUAGUUUGAUCCCAGCUCGAGGUGUCCCUGAGGGACACCCCUCUCCCUGAAUGCUCCUGUUGAGCUGGCUGUCGGUGGGUGAAUGUUAGGCAAUAUUGUAAAAUGCUUUUUCAUUCAGGCCUGGAAUAUUGUUUUGGAAUUUUAUGACAUUACUAAUAUAUCUUGUGGAGCAUUCAAAUCCCUCCGUCCAUGUGUUGGCUAAUGGGGAGAGAGAGAGAGAGAGAGAGAGAGAGAGAGAGAGAGAGAGAGAGAGAGAGAGAGAGAGAGAGAGAGAGAGAGAGCGCAAGAGAGAGAGAGAGAGAGAGAGCGCAAGUGUUUUUUUAUUUUACUGUACUGAAAUUAAUGUUCCUCACACUUGCUUAAUAUUUUUAUAUAUAUUACAUUAUAAGGCUGUGUGUGUCAACUAUUCCAGUGACUACACAACUGAACACAGUUUCACACACAAAUAUCCUGAAAUUCCUUAGAAAUAAACAGGGACAUUAAUUCAGCCACCAUGAUAAACUUGCUUCCUGGUUCAUAGAAAUUGAUUUGAAAUGAAUAGCCUACUAUUUAAAACGUGCAGUUACCUUGAAUUUGAUCAAAUUUGAUAAAUUAGAAAAUGUGGGUCAUGUUUGGGAUCAUUUUGAAUAAAAAGUGAAGGCUUGUUGGCCGCCUUGUCAUAAGAUGUGUCCUAGAUAAGAGCAGGAACGCCCUGCGUCACAACAUCUCACCAGCCGUCAGGUCCUCCCGAAGGUUGAAUUACGGCCCCACUGAAUGGAGGGAGGGAGGGUUACGCCCCCACUGAAUGGACGGUGGCCCCAGGGCCACAACCGGACACUGCUGCUGACGUUCUGUUUAUCACGUUUGUUUGUUUCUGUUUCAAGGCUCUGUUACCAAGGCAAUAAAGAUGAAUCAUCAACAUAAUAA